rnacentral:lncRNA from 1 species
GAACAAUAACAACAAAAAUGGCGAACACUGGUAAAGCUCCUACUGUGUGUGCCUGGCCUGUUUUGAAGUGCUUUACAUACAUUAACGCAUCUAAAACCCACAAGGACCCAAGAGAACUGGGAUCCUAUGAAUAUUGUUAUGUAUCAUCUUUGGGAAGUUCAUUACAGAUAAUGACACCAUCCCACUAAAAUCUGACAGAUUUUCAGGAACUUUUAAGCAGGAAUCACUUGAAACUCCAUCAUUCCACUGAAAUAAACAUGAUGACCCACAUGUUCUGGAUUUUGCCACAGAGAGCAGCAUCA